rnacentral:rRNA from 1 species
AUGAACGCUAGCGACAGGCCUAACACAUGCAAGUCGAGGGGCAGCACAAGGAGCAAUCUGAGGUGGCGACCGGCGCACGGGUGAGUAACACGUAUGCAACCUGCCUGUAAGCGGGGAAUAACCCGUUGAAAGACGGACUAAUACCGCAUAAUACUAAAUUACUGCAUGGUAAUUUAUUUAAACAUUUAUGGCUUACAGAUGGGCAUGCGCAUGAUUAGCUAGUUGGAGAGGUAACGGCUCCCCAAGGCAACGAUCAUUAGGGUUCUGAGAGGAAGGUCCCCCACACUGGUACUGAGACACGGACCAGACUCCUACGGGAGGCAGCAGUGAGGAAUAUUGGUCAAUGGACGAGAGUCUGAACCAGCCAAGUCGCGUGCAGGAAGAAUGUUCCCUAUGGAUUGUAAACUGCUUUUGCAGGGGAAUAAAGUGCAUCACGUGUGAUGUUUUGUAUGUACUCUGCGAAUAAGGAUCGGCUAACUCCGUGCCAGCCGCUGC